AAUUCAAGCCCACUCAUUGGUAGCAAGGUAAUUCAAUAUUUAUGGGAUUUUAUGGAAGUUACUGUUAGAAUUUACCUACACCUACCACCACCUACUACCACACCUACUACACCUACCACCAAUUUACCCUCACCUACUCCUCACCUACUACCCAAACCCUCUCCUAUAUAAUGAGCUACUCUGCUUUGUAAUAUAACACAUCAAUCUUGUAAUAUACACAUUU